CCCUUAGAUGCUCUGGGCCGCACGCGCGCUACACUGGUCGAUGCAACGAGUUUCUUUCCUUGGCCGACAGGCCUGGGCAAUCUUUGAACAUCGAUCGUGAUCGGGAUAGAUUCUUGUAAUUUUUGAUCUUAAACGAGGAAUUCCUAGUAAACGCAAGUCAUCAGCUUGCAUUGAUUACGUCCCUGCCCUUUGUACACACCGCCCGGCGCACCUACCGAUUGAAUGGUCCGGUGAAAUCUCCGGACUGGCGUGAGUCGGAGCAAUCUGACAAACGCCGGAAAGUUGAUUAAACCUUACCAUUUAGAGGAAGGUGAANUCGUAACA
rnacentral:rRNA from 1 species